rnacentral:rRNA from 1 species
CCUACGGGGUGCUGCAGUGAGGAAUAUUGGUCAAUGGGCGCGAGCCUGAACCAGCCAAGUAGCGUGAAGGAUGAAUGCCCUACGGGUUGUAAACUUCUUUUAUAAAGGAAUAAAGUGAGGCACGUGUGUAUUUUUGUAUGUAAUUUAUGAAUAAGGAUCGGCUAACUCCGUGCCAGCAGCGGCGGUAAUACGGAGGAUUCGAGCGUUAUCCGGAUUUGGUGGGGUUAAAGGGAGCGUAGAUGGGUUGUUAAGUCAGUUGUGAAAGUUUGAGGCUCAACCGUAAAAUUGCAAUUGAUACUGUCAGCCUUGAGUACAGUUGAGGUAGGCGGAAUUCGUGGUGUAGCGGUGAAAUGCUUAGAUAUCACGAAGAACUCCGAUUGCGAAGGCAGCUUACUAAACUGCCACUGACAUUGAUGCUCGAAAGUGUGGGUAUCAAACAGGAUUAGAUACCCUAGUAGUC